rnacentral:rRNA from 1 species
UGGGGGAAUAUUGCACAAUGGGGGGAAACCCUGAUGCAGCAACGCCGCGUGAAGGAAGACGGUUUUCGGAUUGUAAACUUCUGUUCUUAACGAAGAAUAAUGACGGUAGUUAAGGAGCAAGCCACGGCUAACUACGUGCCAGCAGCCGCGGUAAUACGUAGGUGGCAAGCGUUGUCCGGAAUUACUGGGUGUAAAGGGAGCGCAGGCGGGAGAGCAAGUCAGCUGUGAAAUCCAUGGGCUUAACCCAUGAACUGCAGUUGAAACUGUUUUUCUUGAGUGAAGUAGAGGUUGGCGGAAUUCCGAGUGUAGCGGUGAAAUGCGUAGAUAUUCGGAGGAACACCGGUGGCGAAGG